rfam:Operophtera brumata OBRT01_Sc04316, whole genome shotgun sequence.
UUAAAGGCUCUUUUUAGAGCCAUUGCUCUAAAAAGACUCACUGUCAU